GGUACAAUGCGAAGCGAAGCAGUGAUGUGAAGCAAAUCGCACCAAAGCCAGUCUCAGUUCGGAUAAGAGGCUGAAACUCGCCUCUUUGAAGUCGGAAUCGCUAGUAAUCGCAGAUCAGCAUGUUGCGGUGAAUACGUUCCCGGGUCUUGUACACACCGCCCGUCAAACCAUGAGAGUCACCAACACCCGAAGUCCGUUUAGGCGGCCUAAGGUGGGGGAGAUGAUUGGGGUUAAGUCGUAACAAGGUACC
rnacentral:rRNA from 1 species